GGGGGCGAAUUUGGUUUCGACAGGGAUAUAGAAGCGGAAAUAGCGAGUCGUUGUCGCCAAACAACGUUAAAAAUGGCAAAUUAAAAUUAAACGCAAACGAUAAUAAUUACGCUUUAGCUGCCUAGUUAGACAGCUCGUCUUAUCCAAAAAUCCCACGAUUUGGAAUAGGGCGUCAACGUAGUGGGGAACCGAGCCCUACAAAGCUUUGAGUAAGGAACGGAAAUAAUGAAGCUACCAAAGCCUGAACCCUGUCAGUAGGGGUCUUGCCGAGGGAAUAUAAAAAUACUGACUGCACUCGGAGAGGUUUCUGUGGAAAUAUUUUUGGACGUGGGUUCGACACCCACCGCCUCCACUA
rnacentral:tmRNA from 2 species